rnacentral:misc_RNA from 1 species
UGGUUCUGGCAUNGAUGAAGAACGCAGCGAAAUGCGAUAAGUAAUGUGAAUUGCAGAAUUCAGUGAAUCAUCGAAUCUUUGAACGCACAUUGCGCCCCUUGGUAUUCCGAGGGGCAUGCCUGUCCGAGCGUCAUUAUCACCCUCAAGCCCCCGGCUUGCCCUUGGGCCCCGGCCUGCCCCGGCCGGCCCGAAAAGCAGUGACGGUCCCGCGCCCGACCCCCAAGCAUGCGUACCGGCACAAGCAGACGCUGCGAGGGGCCGGCGGGACCGGCGUCAGCGCCUUCUCCACGUUGACCUCGGAUCAGGUAGGGAUACCCGCUGA